rnacentral:rRNA from 1 species
UACGAAGGGGGGCUAGCGUUGCUCGGAAUCACUGGGCGUAAAGGGUGCGUAGGCGGGUUUUUAAGUCAGAGGUGAAAUCCUGGAGCUCAACUCCAGAACUGCCUUUGAUACUGAAAGUCUUGAGUAUGGGAGAGGUGAGUGGAACUGCGAGUGUAGAGGUGAAAUUCGUAGAUAUUCGGAGAACACCAGUGGCGAAGGCGGCUCACUGGCCUACGACACUGAC